rnacentral:lncRNA from 1 species
AACUGGUCUCCAAGCAGGGGAUCUCUAAGGCCCAGGACUGGAUGUGCCCUGGGACAAGAAGGGAGGCCACAGCUUGUUAUCUGUUCACUGCUUUCUCUGUCUGUGAAGGUGUAGGCUGGUGUUUACCUGUAACUAGGUGGUCUGAGAGCACCAGGGCCUCAGUCCCUGUAAAAUGGGUUGCCAUUCCAGCAAGGGCACCGAGGUGGUAGAGGAGUCCCGGAAACCUGGAGAUCACGCCGAUGGAGGAGAGCCGAAGGUGGAGUCUGGCACCGAGGCUGCGGAUGACAAGGAUGCCUCAACAAAGGACGGAACCCCUGAGCUGAAGAACUGACCCUCUUUCUUGGGUGGACCCUCAACUUGUCCCUGGAACUGCCUUUGACCUGUGAGGCCCCACCCUGAAGAGCUAUCCAUGGAGGACAGAAAGAGCCCUGGUUAGGAUGUGACCUUCACCGGGCUUGCUCUCUGGCUUUGGGGGAGACGAAGGGUUAAGCUUGAAGUGCUCAGUAAAGAGGACAAAGGACUGCUUCAUUCCUCUUGGGGCCUUUCCCACAGCUUCUGGAAAGAGAAAAACAUGCAGUUGACUCCUCUGGUCCAGACUAUGUGCUUCUGGGCUAUGAACGUCCAGCCAUACCAUCUGCUUUCCUUCCCCGGAACUCUGGAGGCUCCAUCGCCUUCACAUCGAUUGGGACUAUAGAUCUUGGUUUGGUCUUAAUCUCGCUCCCUUUUUCUAACAGCUGAAUGAGCAGCCAGCAUGCCCGACAGGAAGCUUCUGCAUUUGGCUCUCUUCACCUUGUUUGCAUGAAUAAUUUAGUAUUUAACUUACAGUAUCAUUAAUGAAUUAUGGGAAUGAUCAGGAUUGGACGGGGAUUCCAUGAAUGGAUGGCGACAAGGCCUUGGGCUCACAGCAAGCGGAGUGCUGGGCGCUGGUGGGAGGGAAGGGGAAAGUCGAGUUUCCGGCUAUUAAAUCCUCAGAAAUGUC